AUUUUUCAAAAGACAUACAAAUGUUCAAACAAAACUAAAAAAAGUUCUGCUUCAAUCUUUGAGAGGAAAACAUGAAGCUCUAUCCAUGAAAGAAACUGAAUCAAUUUCAAAUUAUUCGUCACGAAAAUUGGUGAUUAUCAAUGAGAUGAAAAGGCAUGGUAAAGAAGUAAGUGCUCUUCAGUGAUGAAAAAAAAUGAUUAUUACCUGAAAAAUUUAUUUUCCAUUGCAGUGGCUGUAGAAGAAUCAAAAGAGUUGGAAGAAAUGACUAUUGAUGAAGUUGGGAGUACACUGAAAGCUUACAAGGAAAAGGUGUUGGAAAAGAAAAGGAAAGAACGUGUAAGAAGAAUAAUAUGAACCAAAGAGGCAGAAAACAUGGAAGAGGUCAUAGAAGUGGAGAUAGAAAUUCUCAACAUUCAUCCAAUAAUGAAGGAAAUUGUCAAUAUUCAUAUAAUUCAAGAGAGCCAGGAAGACAAUCUUAAAAAAGAAGAAGAAAAAAAAUAAUGGUUGAAGAUAUGAUAAAUCUCAAAUUGAAUGAUAUAAUUUUCACAAGCUUAUUCAUUUCUUAUGUUAGUGCAGGAGUAACAAUAUGGUGGAGCAAUCCAGCUACGAUGAAAAUAACUCUUGAAAAUAGAAGGUACAAGGAGGCAAUAAUUCUUGGUACUUGUACAGCUAAGCAAGUAAUCAUAUGUGUGGAGACCAAUAUAUCUUUAUGGAAGCUAAAGAGCUAAAUGACCAUGUUACAUUUGGAAAUGAUUCCAAGCUGCAAGUCGAGGAUAAAAGUAAAUUUCUCAUCCAAAUGAAGAAUGAAGAAAAAUAAACAUUCAGUGUUUACUAUAUUU
rnacentral:lncRNA from 1 species